rnacentral:rRNA from 1 species
CUGAGAGGAUGACCAGCCACACUGGAACUGAGACACGGUCCAGACUCCUACGGGAGGCAGCAGUGGGGAAUAUUGCACAAUGGGCGCAAGCCUGAUGCAGCCAUGCCGCGUGUAUGAAGAAGGCCUUCGGGUUGUAAAGUACUUUCAGCGGGGAGGAAGGGAGUAAAGUUAAUACCUUUGCUCAUUGACGUUACCCGCAGAAGAAGCACCGGCUAACUCCGUGCCAGCAGCCGCGGUAAUACGGAGGGUGCAAGCGUUAAUCGG